rnacentral:rRNA from 1 species
AGAGUUUGAUCCUGGCUCAGGAUGAACGCUGGCGGCGUGCCUAACACAUGCAAGUUGAGCGAUUUACUUCGGUAAAGAGCGGCGGACGGGUGAGUAACGCGUGGGUAACCUACCCUGUACACACGGAUAACAUACCGAAAGGUAUGCUAAUACGGGAUAAUAUAUUUGAGAGGCAUCUCUUAAAUAUCAAAGGUGAGCCAGUACAGGAUGGACCCGCGUCUGAUUAGCUAGUUGGUAAGGUAACGGCUUACCAAGGCGACGAUCAGUAGCCGACCUGAGAGGGUGAUCGGCCACAUUGGAACUGAGACACGGUCCAAACUCCUACGGGAGGCAGCAGUGGGGAAUAUUGCACAAUGGGCGAAAGCCUGAUGCAGCAACGCCGCGUGAGUGAUGAAGGCCUUCGGGUCGUAAAACUCUGUCCUCAAGGAAGAUAAUGACGGUACUUGAGGAGGAAGCCCCGGCUAACUACGUGCCAGCAGCCGCGGUAAUACGUAGGGGGCUAGCGUUAUCCGGAUUUACUGGGCGUAAAGGGUGCGUAGGCGGUCUUUCAAGUCAGGAGUGAAAGGCUACGGCUCAACCGUAGUAAGCUCUUGAAACUGGGAGACUUGAGUGCAGGAGAGGAGAGUGGAAUUCCUAGUGUAGCGGUGAAAUGCGUAGAUAUUAGGAGGAACACCAGUUGCGAAGGCGGCUCUCUGGACUGUAACUGACGCUGAGGCACGAAAGCGUGGGGAGCAAACAGGAUUAGAUACCCUGGUAGUCCACGCUGUAAACGAUGAGUACUAGGUGUCGGGGGUUACCCCCUUCGGUGCCGCAGCUAACGCAUUAAGUACU